AGCGAACGCUGGCGGCAGGCCUAACACAUGCAAGUCGAACGAACCUUUCGGGGUUAGUGGCGGACGGGUGUGUAACACGUGGGAACGUGCCUUUAUGUUCGGCAUAACUCAGGGAAACUUGUGCUAAUACCGAAUGUGCCCUUCGGGGGAAAGAUUUAUCGCCUUUAGAGCGGCCCGCGUCUGAUUAGCUAGUUGGUUGAGGUAAUGGUUCACCAAGGCGACGAUCAGUAGCUGGUCUGAGAGGAUGAUCAGCCACAUUGGGACUGAGACACGGCACAAACUCCUACGGGAGGCAGCAGUGGGGAAUCUUGCGCAAUGGGCGAAAGCCUGACGCAGCCAUGACGCGUGAAUGAUGAAGGUAUUAGGAUUGUAAAAUUCUUUCACCGGGGACGAUAAUGACGGUACCCGGAGAAGAAGCCCCGGCUAACUUCGUG
rnacentral:rRNA from 1 species